rnacentral:rRNA from 1 species
CUCGCCUACACGAAGUUGGAAUUGCUAGUAAUCGUGGAUCAGCAUGCCACGGUGAAUACGUUCCCGGGUCUUGUACACACCGCCCGUCACACCAUGGGAGCUGGUAACACCCGAAGUCAGUAGUCUAACCGCAAGGAGGACGCUGCCGAAGGUGGGAUUAGCGACUGGGGUGAAGUCGUAACAAGGUAUC